AUGGCGUUGCCUGCUGGCGGCCUAACCUGUCGCCCCCGGCCCCCGCGUGUGGGGCGUGUGGGGUCUAAGAGAGAAUUGUGCGUGUCGGUGUCGGAACGCCCUGAGACCUCGUUUCCUCUCGGGUUAAUCAGAGUCUUCCGAGCUCUCAAGCCCUUCCUCCCCCCUCUCUCCCGCCGCUGCUGCGGAGAACCCGAGCCACCGGUGUGGCCUGGCCCAGCCCUCCCGAAGGGCGCGGCUUCAGGGCCCAGCUCCCCAGCAGACCGCGGAUUCCUACGCGGGGCGCUCCUGGGGCGGGAGGAGCACGCUCAGCCUCGCUGUCUCCAGGACUCCCACGCGCGAGCGCCCAGACUCGAGGCCCCGACGCCCCAUUUCCCGGCUUCGCGAUGGCCCCUUGAGGGACAGCCUCCACGAGACCUGGAUUUACACCCCGAGGCUGCCUUCCUCCGCUCUGGGAAGGACCCAAAAUCCAGUCCCGCUUCCUCCCCCUCCUUCGCUGUCCAGGGCCCCAAGGUGCCGAGCACCGGCCGGCGGGAGCCCGCAGGAGGCCGAGAGCUCCGUGCUCUCAGGACUAGGCGGCAGCGGGGGAGCCCCUGCGCGUUUGGGAGGGCGACCGAGCUCCGGCUCCCCUGGGUAUCCUCCCGGGAGCGUCUUCGGGGUAGAGGCUGGUCGCCCGGCGCUGAACGCGUCCGACCACGCCCGUUACGGUUUUGCGUUUAGAUUUCGUUGGGGCUCUCUGAAGGAGCAUAUCUGCUCCUCCUAUUGGAUGGGGAUGAGGCCGGGGACCCCGAGCCCACUGCGGAAACACCCGGUUUCCAGAGCGGACGGCUGCGCCUCGUUUCCCCGCGCAUCCUCUGGGCGGCUCCCGCAGCGCCCCGCUGGGGGCGAACCCCAAAGUCUGCCCAGGCCGCGGGCCUCGGCAACUCCCUAACAGGUCCACGAGAUGGCGCUGCAGGCCAGGGCCGGGGCCGGCCACCUGGAGAGAGAGCGGAAGGUAGACUGGGACCCCGGCAAGCGGGGCACGGAGACGCAGCCACAAAAGCACGCAGAGCCGGGUCCGGAGCCUCGCAUAGGCCGCCGAGGGACUUCGGGUCUGCGGACUCGCGGAGCUGAGGGCUCGAGGCUCAGGAUGGGCCUUUCUACCCUGCUUCCGGGGCCGCCCGGUAGCGCCAGCUCGGCGACCUUCCAAGCAGGCUGCAGACCCCGACCUGCCCUCUUCUGCGCGUCGGCAGGGCUGGACCCUCGCAUUCCCUCUGCGGGGAAGAAGCCGCGGGACUCCGGCCUCCCGGGCCCCUCCGUUGGGGGCUGUGGUUGGGAUCCGCGGCGCGCCGGGCGCACGGCCCUGGAAGCGCGGGGCCAACUCGGCGGUGAGGACUUGGGGGCGGGGUAGGGGAAGGAUCGGCGGGCAUCCAGCGCUCCACGCGCGGCGAGGGCACCCUCGGCUCCGACCCGCCCUCCUCACCACCCUCACCCGGGUCUUCAGGGCGGGGUCUUCAGGGUCGAGGGCAGGAUGUGCCCGGUGGAGCCGCUGCUGAGGUCCGGCCUCCGUAGGGGAGGCUUUGGGCUGCGUUAUUCAGCUGGAGGUGGUGGGGACUGGGGGAGGUGGUACAGGGGUCAGCCUGAGAAUGUCGCCCUUGGAUUGAAAGCCACCAAGGCUCUGUCUGGGUCAGGUCUGAAUAGGGGGCAAGGGAUGUGAGGCUCGUUGGCCGCGGAAUACCAGAGUUGGAGGGGGUGGGGCUUAGAAGCCUGUUUCCAGCUGAGCCUUUGUGUCCCCAGAUGAGCUCUGGCACCCUCAGAGAUUACCCCACACACGUUUCCUCAGGGCACACGGCUAGAAAGCAGCACAGCUAACACCAGAGGGUCAUUUCCACUGCAAUACAGUCACCGGCUGGGUGAUGUGACCCAGGCCAGAUGUCCCUGCACUAGGCUCUCAGCUCUUUUCUCUUUCAAAGUAGCGUAGCAGAGAAUAGGACCGAAUCUUGGUGAUUUAAUAAUUAUCUGCACGCUCAUCUAUGGCAGAGGUCACUGCUUGGUAGGAAAACUGGACAGGAGCUAGAUAGGUACAAGGUCGAACUCUGCCUCGAGAGCUGUGGGUGCUCUUCAAAAAUGUGACUUUAUUUUCUGGGCCCCAGAAUCCUCAUCUGCAAAAUAAGUAGUUUGGACUGAAAUCAGAUUGAUCUGUAAAUGGCCAGUUGACUUAGACCCAGUUUCCAAUGACCACCCCACCCAGCCUCAACUGCCCAGACAAGAGCCAUGUUCCCAUUGAAUGCUUGAGGAAUCUGAGCCAGAGGGAUAGGCAGAGUAACAGACCUGGAGGACCUUGCCAAGAUUCUUGGGGUGGGGGAGAGGGCUGGUGGCCUGGGUGAAUUCCCAAUGAGGAAAUUUUGUUCUAGGUCCAAGCCCCUCAGGGAAUCGGUGGCCUCCACUCCCUGUGGGGUGCGAUUGUUGGUCACAGCUUGGCCUUCCACCUUGAGCAAGCUGCUGUUGGAGAGCCACAGACUGUUGGUUUUGGGGAGGGGUGACUUUGGUCCCCAGCACCACACUUUGUUGACCGCAUGUGACUUCUCCCGGAAGAGAGAAAGGAAUACCAGUGAAGGCCAUUCAGGCACCCAGGUUUAAGGGUGUUCCCCAGGCUAAUUUCUCAUCUGCGAGGAAGCCCUCAUGACAGUCAACACACUUUCACAUGUGGUCUCUCCCCGACCCUGGCUGGCAGGGUGGAGAUUGUGAGUCCCCAUUUCACAGACAUGACAUUGAGGUUCAGAGAACUGAAGUGAGGUGCCCAAGGCCAUCCACUAAGUAAAGGACAGAGCUCUUUCACAAUCCUGUGGGCCUGGCCCUUGGAAACCUUCACUGAUGAAGUGAUGAUGGGUGAGAGUCAGACUUGCAACAGGAAAAGGGCAAAAGGGGCAGAGGAUGGAGUGCCCAGAUAUUGGUGAGAGAAGCAGCCUGGCUCAGAGCCUAAGUCCAGCAGGCCGGGGAAGUGGCCUCAUGGCUCCCGUCAGCCCAGCUGGGCCCACAGGGACCACUGGCCAGGGCAGGGGCUUCUCAGUGUAAAACUAACAGGAGCGUUGGGAGGGGGUGCGUCCCAUGCUCAGUUCAGGGUGUGGUUCAUGUUCGCUCUCAUUAUUAUUUACUUCUCUCCCAAAGAGAACAAGUAGGAUGCACUCUGGCCCCAUGGUGCCUGCUCCUCAGCCUGACAGGAGCAGCUGUGGAACGGCCACUGUGUGCUUAACAUACACACAGAUGUUUUAUUUAAUUCUCAGCACUGGGUGGUUGGUACGAUUACCUCCAUUUUACAGACAAGAAAAUGGCCAAAGGUGAUAGAGCGGCUAAGAAGCAGGUCACAGGGCCACACCAGGCUCUGGCAGACCCCAGGCCUGUGCCUACCGUUCCUGCUCCACAGCCCCUAGGCUGCAGAGAACCCUGGCAUUUGGCCUGUGGCGGGCUGUCCUGGGAGCUGGUUUUCAUGUAGCCCUGGACUGGCUGGUCGAUUCCUUCAUCCAGCCCUCACUUUGGGUUUUCUUUAUUUCCUUCUUGGGGGGCUGUCCACACUUCCAUGCUUUGCCUACCCACAACCAUCCCCAUUUGCCCACGACAGUUCUGGUUUGAGUACUGGCAUUCUGAGUUCUGGAAAACCUCUCAGUUUUGAGCAAGUCACCCAGUAGGUCACCCUGCCAUCCCCACACACAUACCCCUACACUGGGCCAGAAGACCCAGGAAUAAGUGAAACAGACAACAGCGCCCUUAUUGAGGAGCCAAUGAUCUGGUACAAGAUAGCAACAUUCAAUGAGUUGUCCUCCCAAAAGAAGACAAAGUGGUGCAUAGGGUGGGGUGGGAAAAGACUUAGCCCCAGGAAACUGGGGGCAGAGAGGAGCUGCAGAGACUUAGAGAGGCUGGGGAGCUGGCAACUGGCCUGGUUUCUCCAAGGAAAGCUACCCCACCAAACAUCUUCACAUUGCGCAUGUCUCCGUGUGUUCAUGUAUGUCUGUGUGGCAGGUGCAUGUCUAUGUGCGUAACACUCGGCAGGAGUGCAGAAAGCCCUUGCUGGGUGAGUGACUGAAGUGCACCUGGUCCCUCCAGGAUACUCUCCCAACACCCAGCCUCAGGUCCUGGGCCAGAGGCCCGUUCUCCAAAUCCACUUGUGUCCCCCACGGAGAAUUCUGGAGGGCUUCCGGUCUUCCUUUCAGCCAAGAGGGCCUCCUCUCUCUCCUGGGGAACUGAGGCCCAGGGAGUGUGUGUGUCUUGCUUGAGGAUGUGCCUCUGCAGGAGAAAGUUCCAGGCCAUCCACAGACACUCCUGGCCCUCAAACCCUGCUCUCUACCUGUGCGGGUGAUUCUGUGCUGCCUAAGGGUCUGGAAAUUUCUGGUCUCUGGAGCAACAGGGCAGACCUCUCCACCGGGGUCCCUUGGGGAAGCUCCUAGCAUGUUUGUCCCCACAAUCUUUCCUCUGGAGUAGAGGGCCUUCCUCAAAUGCAGCUGAGAUGAAGUCACUGCCCUGGUUAAAGCCUCCCAAUGCCUUCCCUUGCUCUUGGGGUCAAGCCCAGCCUCUUUGGCCUGGCACUGAGGCCUGUGUGAGUCCUGCCUACUCACCCCCCUCCCCAGGACUCCUCCCCCACUGCCCACCUCUAGGCUCGUUUUGCUGGCCUUGCCUUGGCCUCCCCAUACGCACAUGAUUUUUCCUGGGCUUGGAAUGCUCUUCCUGCCUUCCUCCAAAAAACUCAGCCCACUGGCUCCUUCUCCAGGGAGCUGCUCCUCUGCCUUCUCCCUCCUGAGUUGGGUGCCCACGCACGCCCUGUCUCGUGUUAGUGGUCAACGAAUGUGUGGACUUGGGCAAGUUACUCUACCUCUCCAUCACCCCUGCAAAGUGUGGAUACCAGCACCUGCUCCUGCGUGGUUCAUAGUGGGGCUGGUCUGGAGCUUGGACCAAUGAGUGAUGGUUCCCGCCCCUUGGGGGGGACCCUAAGCACUGCUGAGGACGGAGCCUGGGGCGCUGUGCGAGUGGGGAAAUAACCCUCAGCCCAGCGCAGCCGCCAGGGCUGGGCCUGCCAGAGAGGAGCCCCUUUCCCACCCUGGAGGCCAGGCGCGGGCCAAGGAGACUGAAUGUGCCCUAAACCUGGGGGUUUAGACUAGAGGGGGCCCAAGGGCCUGCCUGCUGGGUGUCUGCGGAUGAACGGCGGCGAAAUCCUGAGGCCAAAGAGCCUUCAUGCGCACGCGCGCUGGCGACACCUCCUCCCUCUCCCAGGGAAGCGCGGCCCGGGGAGUGGGUAUUUGUUGCCGCAGGGUGGUUGCUGGUGACCCGGCUGGAUUAAUAUCUUCUGUGGACUGCCUGCGCUGUGCGGGCAGUGGCUCCCACCUACCACUAGAUGGGGAUCUGGAGUCGUUCAAACCAGGAGUCGGGGCUUGGGUUCAGGCCUGGAGCCCCUCGCCCUCCUGCCGCCAGCCAGGGUUUCCCAGCCUGCCUGGCUGCAGCCUCCCAGACACUGGGCCCGCGCCCUGUGCCUCCACUUUCAUUUCUAGCUAGGCACUGCUGCCAGGGGAUAACAUUGAGGGAAACGAAUGAGAACACGGACUGUGCAGCCAGAGAGCCCUUGGGUUCAAAUCCCAGCUGCACAUGCGGUUUCUGGGGCUUUGGCUCCUUCCUCAUCUCUGAAAUAGACUCAUUUACUUAUUCUGCAAAGGGCAGGAGGAAAUGUGGCUGCCCUAAUCACCACUCAGAGUUGUGGGAAUGGGCAGUGUCUUGUGUGCUCUGAUCCCUCACAUAGCACAGCUAACCGGGGACAGUGGCUGUGUUCCAAGUCUUCCCCGUGCCCCUGUCUCACUGAUAGAAACGUACCUGUCCCACGGCUCCCUCCCUUGGGACCUUGCUGGGAGAGAGGGGCCCAUCUGACUUAAUGCACUGCCUUUCCAGAUGCUGUACUGGCAGCUUCCAUCCGAGCUGGAGUGGGGGACCAGACUCUGGCCUGGGUCCCAGGGGCACCAACGCAGAGGCACAGAUGUCUCCCCUCACGCCACGCCUAUCACACAAGGGCCCUGCCUCUUCUUCCUCUAUGAGGCUCUGGGCCAGGGCUGAGGGAUGAUUUCCCUUCUCCUCCAUUCACAGGCAGAAAAAUUGAGCUUCAGAGAACCCAAGACAGAUUCUAUCAGUGGGGAAAAGCAAAGAGUUGGCCCAGGGAAAGGGAACAUGGAGGUUGGGGUUGCACCAGUCUUGGUCUUGGUCACCUUGGUUCAGGUGUCCCCUUCUUUCAUGCCUUGUGGUCUUUUCCCUGACAUAGGAGAGAUUUGUAUGACAGUCCCCAUCUAUUCAGACAUCAGAACCUGCCACGCCCAGAGAGAGCUGCUCUCCCUCUCACCCCUUUGGGAGCCAGAGGUCUCUUCCCCAGGGUGGAAAGAUGGAGGUUAAGAAGGGGUUAACCCUUCUUGUGUUCACAGAACUUCAACAAGGAUGCAUUGAGUGACGGCUACAGUGUCACGUGUGGGGAGUCCUCCCUCUAUCUCUCACACACUCUGGACUCCUUGCUAUUUUUUCUUUCUUUUUAAAAAUUGAGAUGUUAUUUGCAUAAAACAUACUAUGAAAGGGUACAAUCCAUUAGUUUUUACUCUACCAGAUUGUGCAACAAUCACCACUGUCACUCUGCAGCCCUUGACAACCACGAAGCCGCCCUCUGUUUCUGUGGGUUUGCCCAUUCUGGACAUUUCAUAUCAACAGAAUCAUAUGCUUUGUGCCGUUUUGUGACCGGCUUCUUCCACUUAGCUUACUGUUUUCAAGGCUUACCCAUGUUGUAGCACAUAUUGAUACUGUCAUCCUUUGUACCACUCAGCCAAAUUCCAUCACGAGGCUAUUCACCUCUUAUUUCUGCAUCGUCAGUUGAUGGGCAUUUGGGUUGUUUCCGCUUUUGACUAUUAUGAAUAAUACUGCUCUGAACAUUCACGUCCAAGUCUUUGUGUGAAUAUGUUUUCAUUUCUGUUGGGUAUGUCUAGGAGUGGAAUCACUGGGGCAGAUGGUAAUGCUAACUUUUCUCCCCACCAGCAUCCAAAGCAGUUAAUGCUAACUUUUUGAGGAACUUAGCAGUUAGCACUUACCAAAGUGAUAACUUUUUAUCCAAGUGCUGACUUUUUGAGGAACCACCAAACUGCUUACCAUGCCACCAUCCCACCAGCAAUUCCUUGCCAUUUCUUGAAUGUGCCAGCCACACUGCUCCUUGGUCCCUGACUUCUUUCUUGGCGAGGCCAUCAUUGGCCAUCUGAUGGAAAACAGGAGCCCACUUUCAGCCUCUCCACUCCCUUCCUCUCCCUGCCUCUGUUGUCGAUAUCAGAUGUGCAGAGACUAUUUUACUUACUUAUUUUGUUUAUUGUUUCCCCUCACUAGAAUUGAGCUCCGUUCAUGGUUCUAUCAUUGGUCCUAGAACAUUUUAUGGCACAUCUAGGUGCUCAGUCAAUGUUUGUUGAGUAACAUGAGUGAAGGAAUGUAGGACGCCAUGCCAGGUACACAGGGCAGAACGUGGUGAGUUCUCAUGGAAAUGGACCAAGUGUGACCGAGGCCACAGGGAGGUAAACUGAGCAUCACCAGGGCCUCCUGCCUAUACAUUUCUCCACCUAUCAAGUUGACCUCGGGGGCUCAGGACAACCCAUGCUUUCACCCUCAUCAGACCAGCAGAGAAGAACCGGGCCUCCUCCCCCAAACUGGGCAAGAGCUGGGGAUACAGGUUAGUUAGCCAUGUUGUCAUCACAACAGUUCUGUCUCCUGCAUGGGACACUGUAGACAAUGCAGUGGUUGAGGAAGGAUUUGAAGGGUGGCAACUGGGGAGGGGAUUCAUGUGUCAGUGCCCUGCAUCAGCCCUGUCUGUCCCCACCCAGGUCUCCAUCUGCCUUGGAUACCCAGAUGUGAGAGCUGCUCAGUCGGGAAGGAUGUUGGCCUUUCCCAUGCCAGGAGUGAGGGUCACAGUCCCAGCUGUCCAGCUGACCCAGCAGGCAUUUUAUGGCUUCACCUCAGCUGGCCUCUGGACAUAUUAGUCAGGAGUCCUUCUGUCAUAAGGGCAGAAAUCCAACUCAAGCUGAAGAAAAAGGGCAGUGUGUUGGCUUGUACAGGAUUUGGGGAGUGCAGGGAAGGGACAGCUGCCUUCAGAAUGCUGGGGGCUAGAGACACAUGCCCUGGCACUGGCUCUCUCUGUCUCCAUCUCUCUCCCUUGCUUUUUCUCUCAUUUCUUUCCUCUCUGUGUUGGCAUCAUUCUCUCCUACCACAGAUGGGCUUCUUCAUGUGGCAGGGGGCUUGGCUGCAGGCAGCUGUGAGUUACAGAAAUCCAGCUUCGUGGCUCAAAAGGGAAGGAAAUGGCUCUGCUGUUCUACUUAGAACAAUCCCAAGGAAACACUCAGAUUGACCCCUGGGAUCAUAUGCCCAUCUCCCUCCUCCACCACUGUUGUCAGUGCGGCCACACCAGAAAACCAGGCUUGCUGGUCUCUCUCAAAAUGCACACUGACUCCCUAGUACUUCCUUCACAAUAUAGUUCUCUCUCUCUCUCUCUUUCUUUGGGACAGGGUCUCGCUCUGUCAUCCAGACUGGAGUGCAGUGACAUGAUCACAGCUCAUU